UGAUGAGGUUGGUCAUCCUCGGCAGGGAUGACAAGUUGGUUUAAUUUAGAAGCAGUUUUUCAAUCGGGCCGAUAAUGAUCGAACCAGCUUUAGGUGUGGUCGUGGCGUGCAAAUAAGCGUUUUCAUUAGUUCUUCUGGUUAUACGAGUGAUGUUUAUAUUAAGUAUUGUCAAAGCGAUUGAUUGGUAGAAAGUAUUCCAUUUUCUGGUAUGAAUAAGGCAUUCUAAUUAAUAUUAAAAGACAACAGCCUACCAAAGAACAAAAAGAGUCCGUACAAAGAGAAGAAUCCUUUAAUAACAUCAGUUUGGAGUGAAAAUAAUCUGUUAUCGAAUCGAAUUAAACUGCAUCGCAACCAGUACCAUCUACACAUCUUCAAUGAUUACCUUGGUCUUGUCGGUGCUUCUUUCCUGGCGUUCCGUCAGCCCAAGUCUCAGCUCAUCCUUUCCAGCGAGCUGCGAUUGAUCUGCUGACUGGUUUGCUGGCUGGCUGGCGGCGGCACCACCAUAAUAAAUGGAACUACCGUUUAUAAAUCAAAUCAUCUAUGAAACGCGAACUAAACGGUCCGUCUUAGGAUGAUGAGCCGGCGGCGCCGCCGACGCCGACGUCGCAUUGACAACGAGCACCGAUGAAGGGUAAGCUGGAGUGGAGGAGCAGCGUGUAAUUUCAAGCGUUUAAUAGCCACAACCACGGAAGAUGACGAAAGGGGUUUGUGAUAUCAGAUCUGGCAUUUGUUUUUGCUUUGCUUUCUCACAAUCAUCAUCAUCAUUAUCAUGACGGCCUGACGAGCGAGAGGGCGGGGAUCAAAGAGAGAGAGAGAGAGGCUCGCUAUCAGGAUAUAAGGGAACGGAGAGAUAAGAUGGAUCACUGCACCUUCGCUCCAGUUUGAUGUCCUUAAUUCGUCACUUUUUAUGAGAUUUUUUCCGUGGGAUUCCUCCUCACUGUCCGAUCAUUUGUGAUGUCUCAAACAAUUUCAUGGGAGAGGAGAAGAGUUUAGAGCCAACGUUGCCAACGUUGUUACUCAGUUAUGCUGACCAUCCUGUGAACACCACCGAGGCCAUUUGUGAGCCAGCUCGCCGCUUGGACGGCCAGACGAAUUGACGAAUAGGCGGACUAUUUAGUCGUAAAAUAUGACUUAUGCCACCGGCAAAAGGCGCCGCCGUAGGCGCCACAUCUCAUGUUGCUGCUGCUGCUGCUACUUAUACGGCAGCAGCAGCAGCAUCAGCAGCAACAGAAUCUAGCUCACCUUGGCCAGUAGGCCAUUAACGAGCCAACGAUGAUGCCAGUAGCCAGUGGCUAGCUCGCUUGCCACUCAGCUAGCUAGCUGACUCUCUGGUAGCAAUUUGUGACGAUUAAUCAUCUCAUUAUUCACACUCACUCAACCUCCACGCUUACCACGCUUCGUCCAUCGUACCGAUGUCGUGGUCGUCGUGAUGCGGAACACUCGCCAUGCCGUAGUACCGUAGAUUAUCGCCGGUAAUACCGGUGCGCCGGGCGCAGUGACGGGAUUCAUUGUUUCAUCGCUCAAGGCAGACAAACCAACUGACCAACCGACGGUACAAAUCGCCAGUGCGCGCGAUCGACGCGUAAUGCUGGCUGCCUGCGUCCGGCCUGUUUUGAUGAUCGAGCUGUUGCGCCUCGGACAUCGCAGUCGCAGUGACACUGACCAGUUAUGCUCCCAGGUUCCAGCCAUUGGCAGGCGCGUCUUACUCGCGCUGGUGCUCAAAUGGUGCUUAAUGGUGGUUAAGCAUUCGUCCUCGUUUUGGUUUUUCUCCUUUUUUUGUUGCGUAUCGAGUCGAGACCAGAGGAAACGAAACGAUCCACCGAAGGGGCCCCAUCCGCAACUGGCAAUUAAAUCCGAAUAAAUUAUGCCGCCAACCUCCAGUUCAUUCGAUCGCUCGCUCGCUCGCUCGCUGGCCAGAUGAUUCGGUGACUGCUGCUGCUGCGUUUCCGGUUGCAACCGAGAUGCAAUCAGCACGAUUUUCGGUGCUUUCUGUGCACUCUCGGUGCGCAUCGCGCGCACCAGCUUCUUCCAUCUCCUUCUUUUUCUGCUGGCUAGCAGAUUUGAUAAAUGAUCACCAGAGUACGCCCGCCGAAGGCAGAUUUUAGGAUAUUCAACUACCGAAGGAGAUUUGUUCGUGGAACUGAUGCUACUGCUGCUGAUGCUGCUGCUCCUGAUGUCUAAACCUCGCGUAGCGCGGGAUCCUCUGGUGAUGGUGCCAGCUAAGCUGCUGUUAACCGUGCCGCGCACCGCACCGUGGAAGGUGUGAAGAUUUGGUGGCAAAAUGGCCUUCUGGCCUCUCGCGCCGCGCCCCGGACUUUGGAAAUCGAUUUCGCGUUUCUGUUGCGGCUGCCCAACACCACGCCCAACAGUGCACCCAACAGGUACGCGUUGCUUAGUCUGGCUCAUGUCUCUUCCAGGGACAUUUCCCGGGGUGGUUCGUAAAUUGUUCCCCGGAAUCUCACGGCAACGAUCUGCGGCUGCAACCAGGAGCCGCCCAUCUUCUUUUGGCCGAAGAAUGCCGAUCAGCCCUUUACUC